GGCCGCGUGGCGGAGUGGUUACGCAGCGGAUUGCAAAUCCGUCUAUUCCGGUUCGAUUCCGGACGCGGCCUCCA
rnacentral:tRNA from 1 species